UACGAAGGGGGCUAGCGUUGCUCGGAAUCACUGGGCGUAAAGCGCACGUAGGCGGCUUUCUAAGUCAGGGGUGAAAUCCUGGAGCCCAACUCCAGAACUGCCUUUGAUACUGGGAAGCUCGAGUCCGGAAGAGGUGAGUGGAACUGCGAGUGUAGAGGUGAAAUUCGUAGAUAUUCGCAAGAACACCAGUGGCGAAGGCGGCUCACUGGUCCGGUACUGACGCUGAGGUGCGAAAGCGUGGGGAGCAAACAGG
rnacentral:rRNA from 1 species